rnacentral:rRNA from 1 species
UACGUAGGGUGCAAGCGUUGUCCGGAAUUAUUGGGCGUAAAGAGCUCGUAGGCGGUCUGUCGCGUCUGCUGUGAAAACUCGGGGCUUAACCCCGGGCCUGCAGUGGGUACGGGCAGACUAGAGUGCGGUAGGGGAGACUGGAAUUCCUGGUGUAGCGGUGAAAUGCGCAGAUAUCAGGAGGAGCACCGGUGGCGAAGGCGGGUCUCUGGGCCGUAACUGACGCUGAGGAGCGAAAGCAUGGGGGGCGAACAGG